rnacentral:lncRNA from 1 species
CUGGGGGAACAUAGCCUCGAGCAGCAGCGAGAUGAGAUUUGAAAGACAAGGCACGCCUGCUCCUGCUGCUGCUACGUAGGACCAUAGGGGAAUAGUUGGCCCCUGAAAACUCAAGAAGAGGUUGAGGUUUUGAGGAGAAAGAAGCAGAAAGUCGAGGAGGAGGUAUGACCAAGUAGUUGUUUGGAAUAAACAACGAAUUCGCCAUUACAGUUUGCUCUGCUUUUUACGAGUUUAACAAACUCUCCGCUUCUUCUAUCUCCGCCGAUACCUCACCCUCAGCGGACAAACUGAAAAAACUAUAAAUAAAUAAUUGGUGGGCCUAACCGGACUGGGCCCAAAGCGAGUAAAAGAAAAAAUAUAAAGAAAAAAAAUUCUAUGGGUUAGGCAGACACGUGCUACGUCUAGACGGUAACAAGUGUUACAAUCCUAAUGGGUCGGGGGUCCACCAUUAAAUAAGAAAAAGAAAAUAAAACUAAACUACAGCCCUGUGGGUGAGGCGGACACGUGCUACGUCUAGACGGUGACAGGUGUUAUGGGCCCAAACGGGCGAGGGGUCCACACCUUUUGAAAAUGAAGAGAAAUGAAAAAAAGUAAAGAUUGAAUCAGUUCUAAGUGUCAUGGGCUGAAAUCUUCCAAAUCACCGCCGCCGCCGUGACGGUCUACACCGGCGGAUCUCCGAUUUCACCUCGGUAAGGGUAACCUCACGCUCCGGCGGGUCUAUUAAGUGCUUGUGUUGCUGGCAUGUUGUGUGUCUGUGUUGCUUGCUGUUUUGUAGAUAUUGUACAUUUGAGUGAACAUUAUUCGAUUAAGUCGAGUGAGGUGUUAGUUGAUAGGUAAGCUUGUUCUUCUUCCACUUCUUUUCUAUGCAGUGCUGAAAUUGGUCUGCUCUUGAAAUACCACUUUAUUUCAGUUUGAAAUUUCAUCACAGUGAAAUCCUAAGUUAAGAUAGUAUAUCAGGAUUUUCAGUCCUAAAUUAGAACCAAUCAGUUAUUGAUCCUAAAUGUUUCACACUGAAAUUCUGCUCUAUCUCUUAUAUAUGUAUUCUACACUGGAUACUUUUUAGAAUGAACCUCUCUAUUCGAUCACCCCUCUUAAGCAUCUACUUGCACCUUACAGUUAGUUUUCUACAACUAGCAUCAUUCAUAAAAAUGUGACUUGCGUUUCUCACAUUGCAUUUCUGAUUCUUCUAAUUACAAAUUUAGAAUGAAGAAAAAGAUUGCUGUAUAUUAUGUUCCGUUAUCUUUAUUUACUUGUUGCCUCUUUUUCUAUAAUCUUCAUUAUCUGUAUCUACUUGUUCCUUUAACUUAAACAUAGAAGAUAUAUGAUGAUUAUUCAUGACUUUCCAGGAUCCAUAGUUAUUCAAGAAAUUUUAGAAAAGAGAUUUUCACCGAGCUACAUCAAAUAAUCUCAAUAUUUGAGGGUUCAGUUGGCAUAGAGGUUGUGGCUGGCCAAUGAAAUCUUCCAUGUUCUUGAUCAUAAUAAGGUAACAAGAUGCUAUAAAUAUAAAGUCCUGAUGGAACUAAUGUUCUGUUUUUCCACUAUGCAAUAUCUUGUGCAGUAGCUAAUUAAGUUUUGCUCUUUUUUGUUUACUAGGCAACGACUGCAGUUGAAAGCUUAUCCUUCCAACGAAUGACAAUGUGGUGCACAUACUUAAUGACUCCUUCUCAAAUAUGGACAGAUUACAAUUACUUAAAAUUGGAAAUGUGAAGUUUUGUGGAAACAUCAAUUCUCUUUCUCGUGAGUUGCAGUUUCUGCAAUGGCAUGAUUGUCCAUUUGAUUCUUUCCCAUCAGACUUUGCACCUGCUAAACUUGUUGAGCUUCAUCUGCAUUCAAGCCGCAUAAUACAUCUAUGGAGGGGGGAAAAGGUAAGACCUUAAUCAACAUCCAUGUUCAUACAUUCAAUAUUAGUACAUCCUAUUUUUUGGUAUUUAAGCUUUCAAGUUAACAUCAAGUACAAUGGGUGAUAUGUUAACAAACAAAUCAUACCACAUUCUCACCUUAGGAAAUAGAAGAAAUAAACAGUAGGAAAAAUGAAUUUUGCAGCUUAAAUUUUAGAUAUUAUAUAAGAUCCCUAGCUAGCUAGCUAGUCGUGGUUUAAGGCAUACCACUUGAUCAUUUUACUUGCAUGUCAAAUUUUCUCUAGUAUAACGUACAUUUUAUUGAUCAAUUGUUUUCAAUCUUAGACAUUAAUGGAUGUACUUAAAGUGCUUUAUUCGACAUCUUUGUUAAACCACCAAGCAAUUGACUGGAUUUUUUUUUUUUUCAAUCCAUCACUCAUAUUUGUCUUGUGUUUUAGAUAGAUAAAAAUUAUAUGCAGAAGGAUUGUAUAAUAAAUAUUAAAUCACAUGAUUAUGAUCAUCUUCUGAAAUGUACUAGGGGUGGAGUAUGCUACGGCAAAUUAAUUUGAGUGGUACACAACACUUGAUAUCUACUCCAGACUUCAGUGAGGUUCCUGAUUUUGAGAUGUUGGUGCUUCAGGAUUGUACAAGCUUGGUGGACAUUCACCCUUCUCUUGGAUUUCUGAAGAAACUCCACCAAUUAAAUAUGAGAAAUUGCAUGUCUGUUGAGAGCCUUCCAUCCUUCAAUAGAAAUUGGGUCUCUCUCUCAAACUUUUUUUUCUUUCUUUUACAAAGAGAUAUGCACAUACAUUACUCAUUUAUGCAUUCAUGACAUGUUUGAUUCCUAUUUGCAGGACUGGUCUGUGGAACCUCCUUUCGGUUGUUUUUUCUAUGGAAAUGAAAUCUCCAAGGGCAAAUGGUUCCAAAAUUUCAACGAGGGCAGCACUGCAGAAAUCCAACUACCUCUGAAUUUGUUUGAUAAUGCUACUUGGUUGGGAAUUGCUGUAUGUGCUUUUUGAGAUCCCAUGGACAUUCAGACAGCAAUCUUGACCCUCCUGAUUACAGUACAAUUUUAGGUGUUAUCUGGACUCCGAUCCUGCUUCCAGCUUAUGCUCAUUUGAUGUCAAAUUUCAGCAACUUGUCAGGACAGUAGAACCAUGGGAAUUUGUAUCCGAUUUCACUUGGUUCUCAUAUAUACCGCACAAUGGUGUGUUUUUUAAGUUCUGGAGGCCCUGCAAGCACUAGAAAUUCUGCCUGCUGAAUUUGGUACGGGUAUGUCCCUAGAACUUCAGCACGUCAAGCCAUUGUCAGAAGAACAUCAUCGAGAUUUGGGUUGUGUAUUGUGUUCCAGGACGACAUACAAGGGUCUGCUGAUACUAUUAUCCAGUGCAUGCAGAGGGAUAAUUCUCUUGAAUCUUACGAUAAGUUGGUGGUAGAAGAAUGGGUAAAGUUGAUACGAUUGGAAGGUGCCCAUUUAGAGAGAAUGACAGAAUGGGAUUCCAGAACCCCACGGGAAAGAUACUCUGAAUUGCACUCACGAAAAUAGAGAAAUUGGGUCUCUCUCGUCUCCCAUACAUGCAUAAUUAUAAUCAUUCAUAUUACUAUUCCUCUUUUUUUGCCCUUUUCUUUAACAUUUGAACCUAUAUUUACAGAAAUGGUCUGACCCUGUUUAUUGUGUCUUCAAAAGUGUUGAAAUCUCCAAGUUGAAAUGGUUUGUGCCUUUUAUCAACCAAGGGCAACUCUGCAUGUUAUCAGUUGUCCCGCAAGGCUGUGACCAAUAUCCUGAUUCAGAGGAUGUUAUGCUUAAUCACUGUCUGGACUCUUAUGCUGCUUGGCAUGCCAUAUUUGAUUUUCAGACGCAUGGAAGUUUUAGGAUACCCGAGUCAGGGGAAUACUAUGCGACUAGCUUCCUUUAUAUACCGCGCACUGAAGUUCUUACUUCUUAGUAAGAUGUGGAGGAAAUGCAAAUUGGCCAGGAUGUUGUUCUGUAGCCCAAGCUCAGCAGGUAGUGCAUAGUUGUGGUCUGUCUACUAUUUAAGGAGGACAUUGAACAUCUAGUUGAAACACUCGCCUUCCCGCAUUACCUUGAACAUCCACCAUGAUCGAAAAUGGUAACCUGUGAUAUUCAAAAAAAGAAGAAGAUGGUAACCUGUGAGCAGCCUUUUGGGUUUUGAUUAAGGCCAAGUUUGAGAUUGAUGUGUUGUGAGAAUAAUCACUUCUCAUAUUGGUUGAGAAGCUUCUUCUACCGAGAGAGAAAGUCUUCCGACCACAACCGUAUCCCCUCUUCAAAGUGCCUUUCUCCUUCAUGCAUUGGUUGACGGAGUCAAAAUUCACGGCUGACACAGCCGUUUCUGGUGUUUAAAAACUCUGGGCAGACUACUCAUCUUCUUCAUUCCAGGGUGACGUGGGGAAUCUCAGUAGCCCAAAUUGAGGUUUUGCAUGCUUCAAAAAAUGAUGGCCUCCUACCCAGUCCGGCUUCUCCUCUUCUCUUCCAUUUGCCCUCUGGUUUUCUUCUCUGCUUUGUUUCUCUUCAGCUUUAUCUCUUCCGGGUUGUACCUGUUCUUCUUCUUCUCCACUGUUUCUAUUUGCUGCUGCCUUUUGGCUUUCACUCUUUCCCAUAAACAGACACCCGCAACACCAGACACUUCUGCUUCAGCUACCACCAACACAGAAGUGAUUCCUUCUUCUUCUUCGUCGUCUUCUUCUCCACCAUCCUGUAAACUCACCUACGAUGUGUUCCUGAGUUUCAGAGGUGAAGAUACCCGCAAGAAUUUCACGGACCAUCUCUACACUGCUCUCUUGCAGAAAGGGAUACACACGUUUCGAGACGAUGAGGAACUUGUCAGGGGGGAAUCAAUUUCUCCUAAUCUGUUAAAAGCAAUUGAAGAAUCAAGAUAUGUCGAUUCUCACCAAACUAUGCCGAUUCUGCAUGGUGUUUGGAUGAGAUUUGCCAAGGUCACUGAUUGCAUGAAGGCCAUGGGAACAAAAGUUCUUCCAGUGUACUACCAUGUUGAUCCAUCGGAGGUACGAAGACAAACAGGAGAGCACUUUGGGAAAGCAUUUGAGAAGUAUCAGAAGAGGUAUAAAGCGGAACCAAACAAAGUACAGAGGUGGAAAGACUCUUUUUCAAGUGGGCAAUCUCUCUGGAUGGCACCUGCAAGAUGGGUAAGCUUUCUGUCUAUCUAUAUUCUGUAGUACAGUUGAUAAUUUUUUAAAUGACCCUUUUUAUUACACCAGUUGUUUCAUAUGAAUGUAAUUCAGAACUAGUGAAUCAUGCAGAGCUAAUUUAUACACCUGUCUCAAAAAUUAUAAUGUGUAGAACUAAAUCAAAUUAAAUUUUUAAUACUUCUACUUAGAAUUUCAGAAUGAACAAAUAGAUUGGCAUAAUAUAAUAUUUUGUAACUUUAUAUCUUAUACACAUAAUUUAAGUAAGAAUGAUUUUCUCUUUACUUUACAGGUCUGAAUCCAAAGUAAUUCAAGAAAUUGAAGAAAAGGUUUUCACUGAGAUGAAUAAAAUAAUCUCCACAUCUGAGGGCUUAGUUGGGAUGGAUUCUCACCUGAAUGAACUGUUUCCCUACUUAAACAUUGGGGGUCUCGAUGUUCGCAUCAUAGGGAUUUGUGGCAUGGGUGGUAUCGGGAAGACUACUAUUGCACAAGUGGUUUUUGAAAGUUUAAGAGCUCAGUUUGAAGGUGAUAGCUUUCUUGAGAAUGUUAAACAUGAAACUGAAGAGCAGGGUAGUACAAUUCAUUUACAAGAGAAACUUCUCUUGAACUUGCUGAAUACUAAUGUCAAUGUACAAAACACUAAAAUGGGAAAAGACAUUAUUAAGCAUAGACCAUCUACUAAAAGGGUGCUUGUUGUUCUUGAUGAUGUGGAUCAAGAUAUACAAUUGGAAACAUUGUGUCACCGUACUUGGUUUGGUCCUGGGAGUAGAAUCAUAUUAACAUCCAGAGAUGAACACUUGAUCAGUGCAUUUGGAGCAGAUAAAAUAUACAUGGUGAAUGCAUUAACUGAUCCUGAAGCUUUUGAUCUCUUUCGUUUGAAAGCCUUCAAUGAAGAUGAGACUGGAGAAGAUUUUCUCAAGCUAUCCUAUGAAUUUUUGAAAUGUGCUAAUGGCCUUCCAUUAGCUAUUAAAGUUUUGGGAUCGUCUGUUCGUGGCAGAAGUUUAAACUUAUGGUCAAGUGCAUUGAAGAGACUUGAAAAAAAUCCUCCAAAAGGAAUUAUUGAUGUUCUUAAAGUCAGUUUUGAUGGAUUAGAAGAAACAAAAAAGAAAACCUUUUUAGACAUCGCGUGUUUCUUUAAAGGAUUGAACAAGGAUUGUGUAAUAAGAAUACUAAAUGGUUGUGACGAUGACGGUGUGGAGAUGGAUGUACAUGUUCUUAUUGAUAGAUCUUUGGUAACUCUAUUUGGAACAAAAUUGUGGAUGCAUGAUUUGAUACAAGAAAUGGGUCGGGAAGUUGUUCUUCAAGAAUGCCGUGAAGAGCCUGGAAAACGUAGCAGGUUGUGGCUUCCCAAAGAAAUCAUCCAUGUACUUGCUCGGGGUAAGGUAAUGAAAGAUCUGUGUGCUGAAACUCAUCUAUUGUUCUUUUACUAUGGUGUUUCUUGUGCAACAAGUAAUUCUUUGAUUUUUGUUGUGAGGUGACCAGUGCAGUUGAAAGCAUAUUCCUGGUAUGUCCAACAGGAGAUGAUGUUGUUCAUUCAAUUGAUACUGCCUUCUCAAAAAUGGACAGAUUGAGAUUGCUCAGGAUUAAUAAUGUGAAGUUUUCUGGAAUCAUCAAGUAUCUUUCUAAUGAGUUACAGUAUCUUGAAUGGCAUGAGUGUCCUUUGGAUUCUUUCCGGUCAGACUUUCAACCGGAGGAACUUGUUGAAGUUCACUUGCUGUUUAGCCACAUCAAACAACUAUGGAGGGGGAAAAAAGUAAGAUCAUAAUAAUUUUAUGCAUGUUCACAAAGCUGAUAUUUUAGAUUCUAAUCUCAUAUAUUAGGAAAGAUGAAGUGGCUUUCUUUGAAUUGCAUAACCAUAAAAGGUCCCUAGUCGCCCUCAGUUAGACACAUCCUUGAGAGUUAAUAUGGCAUUCUUGAUUUCAUAAAGAAUAUGUCAUUCUCAUACUAAGAUUGGACAUUAGUCAUGUUACUCUUACGUCAACCUUUAUGUAAUUUUACUAAUUUCUGUAAUUUGAAAUCACAAAGGAAUGUGUAAUGAAUAUUUCAAAUCACGUGAUGAUCAUCUUUGAAAUUAUAUCAGGGGUGGAGCAUGCUGCGGCAUUUAGAUCUGAGUGGUUCACCAUACUUGAUAUCGACUCCGGACUUCACUGAUGUUCCUGAUCUAUAAGUGUUGGCGCUUCAGCGUUGUACAAGUUUGGUGGAGGUUCACCCAUCUCUUGGAUUUCUGAAGAAACUUAGAUGUUUGUAUAUGGAAAGUUGCACGUCUAUUGAGAGCCUUCCACCUUUUACUACCUUGGAAUCCCUUCAAAUAUUGAGGCUUUCAGGCUGUUCAGGACUGAUGAAGUUUCCAGAAAUUGAAGGAAAUAUGAAAAGUUUACUGGAGCUUCAUGUGGCUGGGAUGCCUCAAUCAAUUGAACACUUCACUGGUCUUACCAUGUUGAAUCUAACAGACUGUAAAAAUCUUUUGCGUCUUCCGAAAAUAACAUUGAGUGCUUGACAUCUUUGAAAAUUCUCGGUCUAACUGGUUGCUCCAAAAUUGAUGAGAUACCAGAGAAUAUGAAUGGUAUGAAAAGUCUGGAGACGCUUUGCAUUGGGGGAACUUCCAUAAGGGAAUUAUCUAUCGUCGCAGGCAUAAAAAAUCUUCGGUAUCUAUCCUGCCAAGGAUGUAUAUGUCUAGUUUCAGAAUCAUGCAAAGAUCUGGCCUCGUUAUCGAAAUUGAUAGAGCUAGACUUGAGUUAUUGCAAUCUGAUGGAUGGAGAAUUUCUCAAUGAUUUUAGCAGCCUAAUUUCCUUAACAUCGUUACAUUUAAGUGGUAAUUGCUUUGUGCGGUUGCCUGAAAGUAUCUCUCACCUCUCAAAGCUGGAAACUCUGCACUUGAGUAAUUGCAGACAGCUUCAAUUGCUGCCUAAGAAGUUUCCGUUAAGUCUUCGUCACGUGUAUGCACAAGAAUGUUCUUCGCUGUCGGAUUACCCAAAUCAAAUCUAAGUAUUGAAUUCAUCGGGGUCAGGAGUGACUAUUAUCAAUUCCCUUGAUUCUGCAGCGCCUGAAGUCUCACAAAGUUUCAGAAGCUUAAUUUUUCCAAUAAAUGCAGGGGAAUCGAUACAACUGCGUGUGACACAUAAGCAUAGAGAGGGGAAACAAGUUGAUCAUGUGCCACUGACAACUCUGAAACAAGUAGUAUCUCUCUCGCACUCUCAACUAUAUUGGUUUAAGUGCACCUCUGGUACUUUGAAUCCUCUCUAUUUCAUACUUCUAAUUGACGAUGCUUUUGUGUUCUAAGUUGCAGGUGCCUUUGCUCUCAACUUCGGAUGUCAAGAGCAUGCUUGCUAGAGAUGAAAUUUCAGAGUGGUUCACCACUGUAUCUACCAGAAAUUCCAUAUCAAUUCCGAUGCCUCAAAAUCAAGCCGAUGAUAAUAAGUGGAAGGGAAUUGCCGCGUGUGCAAUAUUCGCAGUCAAGGGGCAUAUUGCUCUCUCCCUUAUUGAACCAGAUCCAAAUUUUCUUAAUUACUCGUAUCAAAUCACAUGGGAAACUGAUGACGUGCUUCUUGAACCAGAUGUGUUGGAACUGGAUUCAGCAGAAUUAGGCCGCUUUGGAUUAAGCUCUCAUCUGCUUGUGAUAUUUUCUAUAUCUAGAUCGGUGUUUCCACCGAGGGAGUUAAUUCAAUCAACUGUGGUGAGAGCUAAAUUUGAAACCACUAAUCCAUCCAUGGUGGUCCAGAAAUGUGGAAUGCGUCUAGUCUAUGACCAAGAUGUUGGAUGGUUUACCAGAGUGACUGAGCACGAUGUGAUUUGUCUGGAUCAAGUUGAGAUAAGCACACCACUAGGGGAGGCUCACUGGCUUUGUCAAUCUUUGGAAUGGUAGAAUAUAUUCUAUCUUGUUGCUUAAGUUGGUAAAAAAUGGAAGUAGAGUGUGAAUUGUAAAAGUGGAAGUGUGAAUUUUACUUCCCUCAAUUUUUCGGUCCACAGCUAGUUAAAUUACGCUUUGUGUUUCCCCGUUCGUAAUUUUAAUGUUUAUCCAACAAAUAUUGCAGGGAGAAAAUCAUUCCACCCUUGGAAGAAGAAACCACAGUACUUGUGCUGAGAAAGGACCUCGAGUCUGUUCUUCCAAGAUACCUUGAGUUCAAUCCCUCUGUACUUCUCUCUAGCUAGUUUACAUGAUAUCUCUGAAAUCUCUAAUCUCAAUCUUUGAAACGAAAGAGGUUACUAAUUAUUUUAAUUGCGCAUUUUCAAUAUUACAGGCAUUGAACUGUUAUCCUAAGAUGUUCAAAUUUAACCUCGGAGGAAGUCCAGGGUGGUUUCGUGAGGGGCUUUUCAUGUGGUCAAAUUCAGCCGUAAUGCCAAUGGAGCUGCCUGAAAAUCUACACAAGAGCAAGAAGUGGAUGGGACUGGCAAUAUUCGCAUCACUUGUAGAGGAAGUGGGGCAGACAAUGAAGGAGGACAACUUAGUACAGCCAUCGGGAUAUGAUGCAACUUGGUUCUAUUAUAGACCGUGCACUGCAGCUCGUAAAGAGGUUUGGAGGCAAUGCAAGUUGGCCAGGAUUACUGUGUGGUUGUCUACUCCACGCUUAGCAGUGCAGGGUUGUGCCCUUCGUCUACUAUUCAAGGAGGACGUUGAACAUCUUGUAGAAUCACUGACCCUCGCAGGAUAUUUUUGAACAUCUCCCAGCUGCCCAGUAUCUGCUGCUCAAUCAUGGAGAAGGUAACUUAAUUUUGAGUAGCCUUCCGGCUUAGAUUAAUCUUGUAAGUCACAAUAACUUCUCAUUUGGCUUGGCUGAAGUUCCGAUAUAUAUAUUUGUAUUGACAGAAGGCAAGGUCUGCAAGCAACAGUUCCUAAUGGAGAAUGAGAUAAAAGCGUUGUGUGAUAUUUUCUCAAGCUCAAUGAUAUCUAGUUUUGUCGUGCUCGUCUGUUUUCUCUGUUUUGGUCUUCCUGGUCUCUUGCCUCCAUUGCCGCUGCCCUCCUUUCCUCUUUUUGCUCCACCUUCCGACCUUUGCUUUUCCUCCACCCUCUUAAUCUUUUCUCUGUCCACAGUACCAAACAACCUUAUUUGCCUUGUCCGCAACUCAAUUUCAUCUUCAACCACUAUCACCCUUCCACAAAUUUCCAUACAGGAGUUACGUUUCGUUUUUGAUAAACUCUUCCACCCGUGGUUUGUUUGGCUAUGCACCUGCUGUGUUCUUUGGCGAUGCAAGUUCGCUGCAGUGCUGGUUUAUUUUGACGCCUUUGGUGUUGCUCUUGCAGCUAUGAUAGGCUCUUGUGCGUUGUACUGUUUGUUCUUGCUCAUGUUUGUGCCCUUGUGCCAUAUUUCUUUCUUUAAUGAAAACUUCUUUGUUUAUAAACUCAAAUUGCAAGUUUCUUCAAAUUGUUCAUAAUGAAAUGUCUCGGCGGAUCUCAGUACCUCAAUCACAUAGAUAAAGCAAUCCACUAUAAAUCCUUGUGUUAUUUGUGGUUUGUUUAUUGGUUGCUUUCUUUAGCUUUUUUUUUUUUUUUUUGUACCUAGGAAGCUUACAAUGAUAUAUUGUUUGUUACACUACCUCACAAGUCACAACAUGUGUUGAAGAUCAUCAAUUUCCUCCUGCCUAGCUUGUUCGAUUUCUAGCUGCAGAUCUGUGUUUUGAAGGCUCAAUAUCGUCACAGUCAUCGGCUACACAUGUAAAGCCAGAGUAGAGCUUUUGAUGGACAUUACAGCAAAGUAGCGCCAUCGAAAUCAUCACCCAAGUUGACAACUUAGGCAACGAAAGGAAAAUUGAACAUUUUGAGGUGUAUUCCAAGUCUUAUGAAGCCUAAUUGAGGUAGAGUAUUGUUUGAUAGGGAAAAUGGCCUCCAGGUGUCCAGGGGUAAGGCACAAGCAACUUAGUAUUGUCACAUUCAGGAGCAUAACCAGGUGAUGAGGUUGAACCUGUUGCUUGUUACUUUGUAUGAAACAAAAACACAUUCCCUGCCAUUUUUAUUAGGAAAACCAGAUUUCCAGAACGUAGUAGCAAACCAUCACAAUUACAUAGGAUCCGAUAAUAAACACAUAAAAUGUUUAAAUUACAGGCAUAUACCUGAAAAACAAUAACAUAGCAUCUAAUGCAAACGACGUGUCGCUCCUUAAGGAGAGGUUAUAGAUCGAGAUGACGUGUCGCUCCUUAAGGAGACGUUAUAGAUCGAGAUGACGAAGAACACGGAGAGGACGACCCAGAAUGACUUCAAAGUCUUCGAACCGUGUCCCGUCGCUGCAACUACUUUUCUCGUUCAUGAAUUGGUUGACGCGUUGAAGGUGCCAAAAUUCACAGACACGCAAACGUUUAAAAGUCUGGGCAGACUGCUCCUGCGAAUCACAGUUGCCCAAAUUGAGGUCUUGCAUGCUCAGAUUUCUCACACAGUUCGAACAAGUGAUGGCCUCCUACCCAGUCCGCCUUGUCCUCUUGUCUUGUAUUUGCCCUCUGGUUUUCUUCUCUGCUUUGUUUCUCUUCAGCUUUAUCUCUUCCGGGUUGUACCUCUUCUUCUUCUUCUCCAUUGUUUCUAUUUGCUGCUGCCUUUUGGCUUUCACUCUUUCCCAUAAACAGACACCCGCAACACCAGACACUUCUGCUUCAGCUACCACCAACACAGAAGUGAUUCCUUCUUCUUCGUCGUCGUCUUCUUCUCCACGGUCCGGUAAACUCACCUACGAUGUGUUCCUGAGUUUCAGAGGUGAAGAUACCCGCAAGAAUUUCACGGACCAUCUCUACACUGCUCUCUGGCAGAAAGGGAUACACACGUUUCGAGAUGAUGAAGAGCUUGUGAGGGGGGAAUCGAUUGCUCCCAAUCUNNNNNNNNNNNNNNNNNNNNAUGUGGAUCAAUAUAAACAAUUGGAAACAUUGUGUCACCGUACUUGGUUUGGUCCGGGUAGUAGAAUCAUCAUAACAUCCAGAGAUGAACACUUGAUCAGUGCAUUUGGAGCAGAUAAAGUAUACAUGGUGAAUGCAUUAACUGAUACUGAAGCUUUUGAUCUCUUUUGUUUGAAAGCCUUCAAUGAAGACGAGAUUGGAGAAGAUUUUCUUAAGCUAUCCAAUGAAUUUUUGAAAUAUGCUAAUGGCCUUCCAUUAGCUAUUAAAGUUUUGGGAUCAUCUGUUCGUGGUAGAAAUGUAAAGUUAAUGUCAAGUGCAUUGAAGAGGCUUGAAAAAAAUCCUCCAAAAGGAAUUAUUGAUGUUCUUAAAGUUAGUUAUGAUGGAUUAGAAGAAACAGAAAAGAAAACUUUUUUAGACAUCACGUGUUUCUUUAAAGGAGUGAACAAGGAUCGUGUAAUAAGAAUACUAGAUGGUUGUGAUGAUGCCGGCGUGGAGAUGGAUGUACAAGUUCUUAUUGACAGAUCUUUGGUAACUCUAUUCGGAACAAAAUUGUGGAUGCAUGAUUUGAUACAAGAAAUGGGUCAGGAAGUUGUUUGUCAAGAAUGCCGUGAAGAGCCUGGAAAACGGAGCAGGUUGUGGCUUCCCAAAGAUAUCAUCCGUGUGCUUGAUCAGAGUAAGGUAAUGAAACAACUGAGUGCUGAAACUCAUCUAUUGUGUCUUAUGCAGUAAGUAAUUCUUUGCUCUUUGUUAUUAGGCGACAAGUGCAGUUCAAAGUAUAUUCCUCCAAUGUCCCACAGAAGACGAUGUUGUUCACUCAAUUGGUAACGCCUACUCAAACAUGGACAGAUUGAGACUGCUCAAGAUUAGUAACGUGAGGUUUUCCAGAAACAUCAGAUAUCUUUCUAAUGAAUUACAGUAUCUUGAAUGGAAUGAGUGUGCUUCGGAUUCUUUCCCGUCAGACUUUCACCCUGAGAAACUUGUUGAACUUCACAUGCGUUUUAGCGGCAUCAAACAACUAUGGAGGGGGAGAAAAGUAAGAUCAUACAUAUUUUUAUGCAUGUUCAUAAAGCUGAUAGUUUAGAUUCUAGUCUCUUAUAACAGUAAAGAUGAAGUGGUUUUUGUUAAUCGCAUAACUAUUUUAAGGCCCCUGGUUGUCUUCAGUUAGACUUGCACAUACAUAAAACUUAACAUGGCUUGCUCGUACUAAGAUUGGACUCUUGUUCACGUCAACGUGUCUGUAAUAACUAUAUUAAAUCACGUGAUGAUCAUCUUUAAAAUUAUGCCAGGGAUGGAGCAUGCUACGGCUUAUUGAUCUGAGUGGUUCAGAAUACUUGAUGUCAACUCCAGACUUCACUGAGGUUCCUGAUCUUGAAACGUUGGUGCUUCAAGAUUGCACAAGCUUGGUGGAGAUUCACCCGUCUCUUGGCUUUCUGAAGAAACUUGUCUCUUUGAAUAUGAGCAAUUGCAAGUCUAUUGAGAGCAUUCCACUUCUCACUACCUUGGAAUCCCUUCAAAUAAUGAGGCUUUCACUCUGUUCAGGACUGAAGAAGUUUCCAGAGAUUCAAGGAAAUAUGAAAAGCUUGAUGGAGCUUCAUCUGGAUGGGACCAGCAUUGAGGAAUUGCCUCCAUCAAUUGAAUACUUGACUGGUCUUACCGUGUUGAAUCUUACAGACUGUAAAUACCUUUUGCGUCUUCCCAAUACCAUUGGUUGCUUGACAUCUUUGAAAAUUCUCUACUUAACAGGUUGCUCCAAAAUUGAUGAGAUGCCUGAGAAUCUGAAUGGUAUGAAAUGUCUGGACAAGCUUUCAAUUGGUGGAACUUCCAUAAGGGAGUUAUCUGUCCUCAGAGGCAUGAAGAAUCUUCAAUAUCUAUCCUGCCGAGGAUGUAAAUGUCUAGUUUCAGAAACAUGCAAAGGUCUGGCUUCGUUAUCGAGUUUGAUAGAGCUAGACUUGAGUUAUUGCAAUCUGAUGGAUGGAGAUUUUCUCAAUUACUUUAGCACCCUUAUCUACUUAACAUUUUUAGAUUUAAGAGGUAAUUGCUUUGUACGAUUACCUGAAAGUAUAUCUCAACUCUCAAAGCUCGACACUCUGAACUUGAGUAAUUGCAGAGAGCUUCAAUUGGUGCCCAAGAAGCUUCCGUUAAGUCUUCGAAAAGUGUUUGCACGAGAUUGUAUUUCACUGAAGGAUUACCCUAAUCAAAUCAAAGUAUUGAAUUCGUCAGAGUCGGGAGAGACUACCAUCAUUUCCCUCAAUUCUUCAAUCGCAAAUUUUACUGACACAACCGAGCUGCAUUUGACAGAUCUAGCGUUUAUGAAACUAGUUGAGCUCUCUCUCUCUCUCUCUCUCNCUCUCUCUCUCUCUCUCUCUCUCUCUCUCUCUCUCUCUCUCUCUCUCUCUCACACACACACACACAAAACAGAACAAAUAUCUAUCUUUUUUCUCAACUACUCGGCUUUUGUGUGUUACGUUGCAGGUAUAUUCCUUUUGGUCAGAUACUACGAUUUGCGUAGUUCUUGCAGACGAAAUUCCAGGGUGGUUCAGCACUGUAUCUACCAGAAAUCCUGUAUCAAUCCGUCUGACCGAUGAUAACAAUUGGAUGGGAAUUGCCGCGUGUGCUGUAUUCUCAGUCAAGGGUCAUACUGCUCUCAUUGAAACGGAUGCUGAUUCUUCUAAUUCCUCAUAUCAACUCACAUUGGAAACCGAUGUCGUGCGUCUGAAACCACUUGUGCUUGAUGGGGGACAAAUUGCUCCCCAGUAUCGUUCACGUUCUCAUCUGCUUGUGAUCUUUAAUAUAUCCAGGUCGAGGUUUCCACAGAUGGCGCUCAAUGGAUCAACUGUGGUGAGGGCUAUAUUUGAAACCACCAAUCCAUCUAUGGUGGUCCAGAAAUGUGGAAUCCGUACAGUAUAUGAGAAAGAUGUUGGAUGGAAUGAAAGAAUAGUAGAGGAAGAUUUGGUUUGUCUGAAUGAAAUGGAUGACGGCGCCCCCGUACCGCAGUCUGCCUUCUUGCUUAAUCAAAAUAUGAAAUGGUAGAAUAUAUUCAAUCAAUUACUAACCCCUUUUGUAUUUCUAUCUGCGAACUUUAAUGUAUCUCCAAUUAAAUAUUGCAGGGAGAAAUUCAGUCCACCCUUGGAAGAAGAAUCCACACUUGUGCUGAGAAAGAACCUUGAGUCUGUUCUUCCGAGAUACCUUGAGGUCGAUCCGUCUGUGUUUCUCGAGCUCUAACUAGUUUAUAUUAUAACAUGUUUUUAUCUUUGAAGUAAAUUAAAGAGGUUAGUAAUUGACUAAAUUGCGCUUUUUCAAUAUUCUAUAGGCACUAAACAGUGAUUCUGCGGUGUUCAAAUUUGACAUGAAAGGAAGCCCAGGGUGGUUUCAUGUAUUUUAUCCUGAUGUAAGGCUAAAUUCGACCAGAGUGUCAAUGAAGCUGCCUCAAAAUCUACACAAGGACAAGAAGUGGAUGGGAUUUGUGAUAUUCGCAUCACUUGUAGAGGAAGUGGGGCAGACAAUGAAAGAGGACGGGUAUCAGGUAUAUGUUGCACUAUCAGUUCGGACGAUGUUCCUAAACCUUGAGCACAUCAGGCCGUUCACAGAAGAACAUCAUCGACUUUUGGUAAUUUACAUACCUCGGGCAGGGAUUCCCGAAGCAAAUGCAGUGAACCUUGUCAUCGGAAUCAGUACCCUUCAUGUAAAGGUUCAAAGAUGUGGGUUCCGGAUUGUGUACCAGGAAGAUUUACAAGGAUUUGCUGAUACAAUUAUCCGGUGCAUGCAGAGGGAAGAUUCUCUUAAAUCUUACGAUAAGUUGGUUGUAGGAGAAUGGAUACGGUUAAUACGAUUACAAGGUGCCCAUUUAGAGAGAAUGACAAAACGGGAUUCCAGAUCCUCACGGGAUAACUACUUUGUAAUCCACUCACGGAAGUAUAGAAAUUGGGUCUCUCUCUCACACAUAUACUGUACAUAAGUUUUACUGUUAUUGUUAUUUCUUUCUUAUUUUUUGGCCUUUCUUAUUGACAUUGGAACUUGUAUUUUACAGGACUGGUCCGACCCUCGUCCUGUUUUCUGUGACUUCGAGGGAGCUCAAAUUUUCAAGUCGAAAUGGUUAAUGCCUUUCAUCAACCAAGGCAACUCUUCAGAAAUCCGACUGCCUCUGAACGUGUUCGAUGAUAGUAAUUGGUUGGGGUUUGCCGUAUGUUACCGGUUUUCCCAACCCCAAUAUCCAAAGAUUGGAUCCCCUAAGCAGGACGAGGGCCAGACCAGUAGUACUGCACCUGAUUCAGAGAAUGUUAUGGUUACUCUUCGUCUGGACUCUGGCUUAUUUGAUUUCAAAAUGCCUGGCUCACUGGCACGUCUUCCUUUAUCGGUACUCGGUCCAUUGGAAUACGAUGCGACUCGGUUCGUUUUUAUACCGCGCACUAAAUGUCUUGUUAACGAUAAGACGUGGAGCGAUUGCAAAUUGGCCAGGGUAACUAUGUGGUAUGUUAACCCAUGCUUAGCGGUGCAUAGUUGUGCCCUUCGUCUAGUAUUUAAAGAGGACGUUGAACAUCUAGUGAAGACGCUGACCCUCGCCGAAUUACCUUGAACAUAUAUAUCCCCCAGCAUCUGUUGCUCAAUCAUGAAGGUAACUUAACUGUGUAACAUCUAGCCUCGUAUAGAUCAACUUUCUAAGUCACCAACUGAAAACUAUAAGAUGUAUAUUUCUUAUUUGUUUGUCCUCCUAUAUCUUGUGUAUGAGAACUAAUAAGUAAUGUUGUACUUCUCUAUUUGAAUCAAACUGAAAAUUAUAUAGGAUUGGGUGGAGUUUUGGGCAGAGAGAGUUGUUCACAGAUUCUGGUAGUAAGUUUUUCUGAAUUCAUCUUCAUCAUAGUAAAAUAUCUCGCCAGCUCCAAAAAUAUUUUUGUGAUGUAGGACAAGAACAAACACAAAUCAGCCGGAAGAAGGUAAAAAUAAAGAAGCGGUAGAAUUAAGAAGAAAGAUUUGAUAAAGAUUGGUAAUUCACGUAUAAAGAGAUUGCUAGCCGCUGAAAUAUUUAAGAAAUUAAAAUUUUCGAUUUUCCUAGUUGCUGAGUAAAAAGUCAGAUUUUAACAGUGAAUCAGAGUUGGAGUACCUUUUGGACAGAACAUAUGUUUGGGAUGCAUAAUACAUUUUAGUGUCAACCAAGGUGUCAUUGAAUUCUUCAUAUACCAUUUGAAGAAUUCUAUAUUGAUCAUUAGUGUCAACCAAAGUGUCAUUGAAUUCUUCAUAUGUCUCUUACUCAUCUGCAUCUUGCUACAUUUGAACAAGGAUCUCGAAACCAUUGUAAGUGGAAAUAUUUAUAUUAGCAUUACCUAGACGAACCAGAAGAGACAUAACAUAACACUACUACGACGGUCAAUAAUCCUGAACUGCCAGACUUGGGAGCCUGCGAACGGACACCAACGAGUAUCACAAUAUGAUCAUGACAAACUCUUAGUCAUGUAGCCAUACAAAUAUAGCCCUAGUAUUUUUCUCCUUUUUAUUACAAAAGAAAACUACACCAACAGUGCCUCAAUUCUUAUGUCCCGGUCAGUUUGAUACCUAAAUUUAUAAAGCUGUCAAUGUAGUACCUAAACUUACGUUAUCCUCUUUGGCAUUCACCUAGAAAGAAAAUGCACAAGUAUGUCAUGUACAAGUGAGAUUACAGAUGAAAAUAUUAAAUGAAGUGUAGAUAUGAACUAGGCAGAUGCCCGCGCUUUGCUGCGGGUUUCCGUUUUUGUUAGCUAUGCUCCAGUUACUUGGUUGAUUGAGAAGAGGAAUAUGUGAAAUCAUCAAAUCAAAUGAGGGAUUACAAUUGUAUGAAUUUGGGUUUCAUUUAGAUUUGUGAUUGCAUUGAGACUUAAGCAUAAAAAGACAAUAGAGAAAAAUAAUUUUUGAAACCUAAACUCAAAACAGCUACAAAAGAGAGAAGGCAGAGACCCAUGCUUUUGUCCUAAAAUGAAGACAGGAAGAUGUCGAAAACAGAUCCAAAAGAUCAUCAUUAAUUUCUAAUAGAAUUAUAGAAACACUGAAUAUAUCAAGUCCCUCAGUCUGCUAAACGUGAACACCUCUUAUUGCAUUAGUUUAAGAUACUUCAAUUCAAAGAUCUUGAAGUCUAAUUGAAAUUUUUUUGACAGUCAUAAUUGUAUAUUUGUGUAACUGUCAAGUUAGUUUUCCUUUUAACUAAUCAAAUAGCCUUUAACAUAUACUUCCAGAUGGAUGAAAGACAGUUAAUGCUGUAAAAAAAACUCCUAUUCAGCUGACUGGAACAACAUUCUUUGCAAAAAGUGAAGCAAUUCGCAACUUUAUGUAAUCUCCUUACUCAUCUAUACCUAAUCAUAGAAGAAUCAAGAAUAGAUGAAAAACACAACUCAGAAAGCUGGUAAACUUAUAGUGUAUACUGAUAAUAAUUAUCAUGUCAAGAAGAUACAGAUAUCAACUGGCCAAUCUCUAUAAAAUGUACAAAGCUGAUAAACUUAUAAUGCACCUCAUCUUCUUACAGCAGCAGCUGCAAAGAAUCACCAACAUUUCAAAUUAAGUUAAGAGUAUAAAUCCGAACUGGUUGUACUCCAUCAAAAAUCAAAUCGAAAGAGAUAAGUAUCAAAAAGAAUAGAAGGACAGAGCCAUUUGUUUAUUGUGCUCAACAGAAUUCAAAUUGAGCAAUAUACACAUCCUUAAUCAUUAUAAGUUUUACCAACCCUAAUCCUUUUUAACUAACAGCAGCUAUGAAACCGAAGCAAAAAAAAUUGCAAUUCAAAUUCCUAAAACGUACACAUACCGCCCUGAAUCAAGUGUGACUUGUUAUCUGUGUCUGCAACUGUUAUGUACACCCUAUAGCUGUGUAGAAGGGGUAAAAGUCAGUAGACAAUCUAACUUAUAUAUGAAUGAAUGAAACUUUUUUGGGAGGUGAAAAUCCAAUGUAUAAAUUAGUUGCAAGCCUCUUUUGUAAGCUGUUGCUGGUAUUUACUGAAAUUGAAAAGUUAUGAAAAGGCAAGCACCUGAAAUUACUAUUCAAUACACGUAUACAAAACGAAUUACUCAAAUUUAUCGCAACUGUCAACGCAGACCCAGCCUGCAAUGCUCUGAACCAAAGUAUUGAUGGACAGCUGCUAAUCAUGUACUUGAAAAGAUCCCAAAAAAUAUUUGACAAGUUAAAAACAAAGAAAAUCUAAGAUAGUAUGAAUUCCACUCCAAUAAGUACAUGAUGUUAUAUCAGCACAGCAUUCUUGUUAUAUCAUCUUCCUUUUUCUUUUAUUUUGGUUUGAACUACAUAAAGGUUAUCCUCAUUGAGUUAAUCCAACUUGAGUCAACUAAGCACUCUUUAGUCCUUGCCUUUCAGCCCCUGCUACCCAAGCCAACAACUCAUAGCUGACUCAAAACAAUGGCAGCCAUUACCAUGCUCAAACCUACAAAUCACAGACAGCAAAAAUAAAAAAGAAAAUAAAAAAGAAAUCAGAAAAGCAUGCAAAUUAACAGAACUGCUUUUGUCUGGUUGAGUUUCUAGUUGCACUGGUUAGUUGGAAUACAUAGAAAGAAACCAACUUUGACCCUAAUAUGUCUCAUCUCCUAAACUGGCAACACUCUAAAAAGAUAAGAUAAGAUAACCGGCCUAGACCUGGUUGAUGAGCAGGUAUGCGGUUCGGUCGUCAAAUCUGUCCAUCUUGGCCAAUUCCUCCAAAUCAGAGCCCUGUUUUAAAGAGAAAGGGAAUAUUUUUGGUGAAUUAUCGAACUCAAAUUCAGAAGAAAUUGCGAUUUAGACAAAGAAAAGCAAUCAACCAAAUAUGAAGCUUACUUGUCCCCAAAUUUAUCUAAUCCAAUCUUCCUCCACUCUCUCUGCCCUAUACCUUUCUGUUAACAAAACAAAACGCUAAACCCAUGUCUUCACAUCGAUUCCCAAAUUCAGAAUCUGAAAACGUAAGAACAAUUGAUCAGAAACGAAAGAACCUAAAAGGUAAAUAGGAAAAUAAGAAUUGAAAUCCAAUUACAGACUGGUUGUCGAUCGACCACCUCAGAUCAAAAAUCUGCUCUCCCCGUCUUCCUCACUCUCUCUGCUAUAUCCCUUUCUGCUAACCGAACAUCAUCUCCCUCUCUCUCUCUCUGUGAUAUUUGAAGAAGACGCGAGACGCGAGAAGCUAAUCUGUGCUCUCUUUUUCUGUCUGUUUGAGACAGCUGAAGAAGACGCCAGAAGAUGAGAGAAAGAACACGCGGCAAGACAUUGGUAGAGGGCACAUGUGGAAUAACACACAUCCAAAGUGAGGGCAAAAUCCAAAAAUACACUGUUAAACACUGCAGAUGACGUCAUCUCAAAAAAUAGAUAUAUAGUAAAUAUGGAAGGUGUAGAAAAAACAUUGAGAAUUAAUCUAUUUAAACAACCUUGGAUAUGAAGAGGGUCUAAUGAGUUCAAAUCUGAGAUUAUAAUGCUGACUUCAGUCUCCCAGUUGGUUGGCCUUACAGACUAUUGAUUGAAGGGAAGUGAUAGGCUUAUUGUCUAUGAACAUUCGUCUCAAGGAAUUCCUAGUAGGCUUUGCUGCUUGUAUGAACUAAAACUCAAAACAUCUCCUUCAUCUUACAGGAUGGUUUGAAUACCUACUAUGUUUAAUUUUUUACCUAACCAAAGUCAGCAACUUUAAUGAAAAUUCUGAAACCAGUACAAGUAACAUUUCCGGCUACAAUUGCAUAGGUAUUAAACCAAGCAAACGGAAGCUAAUGCUCAACUUUCUAUUUUCAAGUGGCUCAUAUCUUACUAUUUUCAAGUUAACAGAUACUUAACGAUGGUCAAGAAUAAUCACAGGCAAGAAUUCUAACCUACUGGAAUGCCAGACCUUAUAAAAACAAGCCAUAUAUCUCCGACUCAAACUCAUUUACACCCUUAUCAGCCAUCAUUUCCAUUGUAUAAGUCCUUGUGACCAACAGAGUUGGAUAUCUACCCAAUUGGAAUAUGACUGAAAAUAAACUACUGGGUCAGGCUUAUUCAACUAAAGCAAGUAUCUUGAACACAUCUGUCGUACCAAAACUAGGCUUAAAGUCAAACCCAUGACCACUUCCCCAAAAUCCCACAGAUGAAUUAAGCAAUAGAUUCAUAAAAAUAAUCGAAAGCAUACAAAGUUAGAGAUUGAUGGAAAGCGUACAUACUGGGGGAACAUAGCCUUGAGCAGCAGCGAGAUGAGAUUUGAAAGACAAGGCACGCCUGCUGCUGCUACGUAGGACUAUAGGGGAAUAGUUGGCCCCUGAAAACCCAAGAAGAGGUUGAGGUUUUGAGGAGAAAGAAGCAGAAAUUCGAGGAGGAGGUAUGACCAAGUAGUUGUUUGGAACAAACAACGAAUUCGCCAUUAUAGUUUGCUCUGCUUUUUACGAGUUUAACAAACUCUCCGCUUCUUCUAUCUCCGCCGAGACCUCANNN